UGAAUUCAUUAGUACUUCAAACUAGAAAAAUUAAAAAAAAACUGUUAUGUUUAUUGCCACUGAUAUAAAGUUUGAGUUUAAGCUAGCCAAAGAUAGUUGUGCUUUAUGUUAUUUUUUUUGGUUAAGUACUGUUCAUGACAGUGUACAAACCAUUAUGUUAUUACUGUUACUUCAGCAAUGUGUUGGAGGGUUUUAUUUUUGACAGGGGAAUCAAUAACGUUAUGUUUUAAUUAAACCUUAAUAUACCAAUUUUU
rnacentral:lncRNA from 1 species